rnacentral:rRNA from 1 species
GGGUUGUUGCUGGCCCCCAAACCGGGCACGUGCACGCCCUGUUUACGCAUCCACUCACACCUGUGCACCCUCUGUAGUUCUGUGGACCGGGAGACGUCGUCUUCCUUCCGUGGCUCUACGUCUUUACACACACGCCGUAGCGAAGUCUCAUGGAAUGUUUUUCGCGUUUAACGCAAUACAAUACAACUUUCAGCAACGGAUCUCUUGGCUCUCGCAUCGAUGAAGAACGCAGCGAAAUGCGAUAAGUAAUGUGAAUUGCAGAAUUCAGUGAAUCAUCGAAUCUUUGAACGCACCUUGCGCCCCUUGGUUAUUCCUCGGGGCAUGCCUGUUUGAGUAUCAUGAACACCUCAACUCUCGUGGUCUUCCAUGAUGAGCUUGGACUUUGGGGGUUUGCUGGCCCUGUGGCCGGCUCCUCUCAAACGAAUCAGCUUGCCAGUGUUUGGCGGCGUCACGGGUGUGAUAACCAUCUACGCUUGCGAUCGCCUGCCAGAUAACCCUCAGCGAUGAAGGUUCAUUGGGGCUUACAAAAGUCUCUCCACAGCGAGGACGAAUUUUGAAUGUUCGAUCUCAAAUCAGGUAGGACUACCCGCUGAACUUAAGCAUAUCAUA